rfam:Danio rerio chromosome 11, GRCz11 reference primary assembly.
UAGCCGGCAGCUAGCUCUCUGCAACUUUCACAAGGUUGCCCACUGAAGCUAAGCAGGGCUGCACCCAGUCAGUACCUGGAUGGGAUACCACAUGGGAAAGCUAGGUUGCUGGUGGA